rnacentral:rRNA from 1 species
UACAGAGGGGGCAAGCGUUGUCCGGAAUUAUUGGCGUAAAGAGCUCGUAGGCGGUCUGUCGCGUCUGCUGUGAAAACUCAGGGCUUAACCCUGAGCUUGCAGUGGGUACGGGCAGACUAGAGUGCGGUAGGGGAGACUGGAAUUCCUGGUGUAGCGGUGAAAUGCGCAGAUAUCAGGAGGAACACCGGUGGCGAAGGCGGGUCUCUGGGCCGUAACUGACGCUGAGGAGCGAAAGCAUGGGGAGCGAACAGG